rnacentral:rRNA from 1 species
UAUGGUGGUUAUGCCGGGGGUGCCCACCUCUUCCCAUUCCGAACAGAGAAGUUAAGCCCCCCAUGGCCGAUGGUACUGCACCCAAAUGCGGGAGAGUAGGUAGCCGCCAUUC